rnacentral:rRNA from 1 species
AUGGCGCUCUUCGCCGCCGCCGCCCGCCGCGCCGCCACAUCCUCCCUCCCCCUGCUCCGUGCCUCCGUAUCACACGGCGGCAUUACCCUGCCCCGGGCUCUGGCCGGCGCCGCGGCGCGGCCGAUGCCCUUCUCGUCGGCGACCGGGGUGAAGCCGAGCUCCGGUGACGAUCUCCCCCCGCGUCAUCAAGUCCGAGACCAACCUGGCCGAGCAAUGCGACGACCACGACCCGCCUUAGCCCUGAGGCCGCCACCACCAUUUGAUCAGGAGUCGGAUGAAGAGGUUGAUUCUACUGAAUCCGAAGAGGUUGAUUCUACUGAAUCCCCUGAGGUUGCUUUUAGUGAAUCCGAAGAGGUUGUUGAGUUCAGCAAGCUGGAUGUGAAACUGCAGCUUGCACUGUACAAGCUUGUGAAGGCGCUGGGUUAUGAUACUCCCGGGGUCACAGAAGUGUUGCAGGAGCCCACGAUGAGCAAAGACCGGCCCCGGCUUCUCUUCUGGGAGACCGAGCUGUGGGAUUUCCUCAACAAAGAUGCAAUGUCCCAGGCCAAUCACAGCUCGCCAAUUGGCUGCCAAGUGGCUGGACCGGUCAGCACACGCAGUUUUGCAGAAAACCCCCUGCCGUCUCCAAUUAUCAACCCGCAGUCACCCCCACCUGAAUUAAAUCUGUCGACGGCGCCCCCACCGCCACCGCUGCGGACGCGGAUGCCACGCUCGGCGAGCUCGCCUCCAACCUCUGACGCGUACGCCGACGCCGACGCCACGAUGCGCUGCUCACGCAGCAGUUCCCGCAGCCCCGACAGGGACGACCCGGACCCAGUCGCGGCCGCCACCGAGGCCCUCGCCAAGGUCGACCUCUCCGACGACCCGGACACCACCGCCACCGCCAAGUCCGGCUCCAGCAAGCCCCGUCAGGCAGCCAGAGGCGGCGGCGGUGACGUGGGCAAGUCACUCGACUACCUGUACCGCGCUAGAGCACACACACAUGACACAUGUACAAGUAGAGUAAUUCGUACCGUCGUGCUCAUCUCGGUCGCCGAUGCGGCCGGCGUCGCCCUCAUCGGAGUCAUCGUGGUGUACAUAUACUGGAAGCUGCGCGACCGGCGCGGGGACGACGACGACGAGGACGAGGAGGGGCGAGGGCUCUUCGCCUGCCCGUGCAUGCAUGCAAACACCUGCGGGGACUCGUCGGACAGGUCCGACGCGGGCGGUGGCGAGAAGAAACGCGGCAACGGUUCCGGGGGCGGAGGCGGCUGCGAGGACGGGGAGCUGGUGGCGAUCGACAAGGGGUUCCGGAUAGAGCUGGACGAGCUGCUGCGGUCGUCGGCGUACGUGCUGGGGAAGGGCGGGAAGGGGAUCGUGUACAAGGAGUUCGCGGCGGAGGCCGGCGCCGUCGGGCGCGUGCGGCACGCCAACGUGGUGCGGCUGCGCGCCUACUACUGGUCGCCCGACGAGAAGCUCGUCGUCACCGACUUCAUCAACAACGGCAACCUCGCCUCCGCGCUGCGCGAGAAGGCCCCAUCGAUGUCCCCUUUCAAAAUCACCGGCAAGGGGCUGGAGCUGAUGUCCGAAGAGGAGUACCUCCGCGUCAUCAAUUCUGGGAUCAAAUACGCCGUGGAGUGCAACAACUGCAACCGGGCUGACAAGAAAAUCACAGGAGAUGACGUGUAUAGGUACAUGAAGAUGCGCGGGGUCACGUCCUUCUCCCCCAAGUUCCUGCAAGAGACCAUACUCGACAAGCUCUAA